rnacentral:rRNA from 1 species
UACGUAGGUCCCAAGCGUUGUCCGGAUUUAUUGGGCGUAAAGCGAGCGCAGGUGGUUUAUUAAGUCUGGUGUAAAAGGUAGUGGCUCAACCAUUGUAUGCAUUGGAAACUGGUAGACUUGAGUGCAGGAGAGGAGAGUGGAAUUCCAUGUGUAGCGGUGAAAUGUGUAGAUAUAUGGAGGAACACCGGUGGCGAAAGCGGCUCUCUGGCCCGUAACUGACACUGAGGCUCGAAAGCGUGGGGAGCAAACAGG